rnacentral:rRNA from 1 species
AUUGAACGCUGGCGGCAGGCCUAACACAUGCAAGUCGAACGAGUGGCGGACGGGUGAGUAAUGUCUGGGAAACUGCCUGAUGGAGGGGGAUAACUACUGGAAACGGUAGCUAAUACCGCAUACCAUCGGAUGUGCCCAGAUGGGAUUAGCUAGUUGGUGGGGUAAAGGCUCACCUAGGCGACGAUCCCUAGCUGGUCUGAGAGGAUGACCGGCCACACUGUAACUGAGACACGGCCCAGACGCCUACGGGAGGAAGCAGGGGGGAAUAUUGCACAAUGGGCGCAAGCCUGAUGCAGCCAUGCCGCGUGUAUGAAGAAGGCCUUCGGGUUGUAAAGUACUUUCAGCGGGGAGGCGUUAACCGCAGAAGAAGCACCGGCUAACUCCGUGCCAGCAGCCGCGGUAAUAC